rnacentral:lncRNA from 1 species
AUGAGAGCUCAACAAAAGCCUUCCCUGAAGAAAUGUGAUUUCAGCUACAACCCAGAGGAUGCAUGGGACUUAUCCAGUGUGGAGCUGGGCAGGGCGAACCCAGAGGGACCAGUGUGUGUGAUGACCCAGAGUGCAAGGGAAUAUAGAAGGUCCCAGGCACCUAGUCUUGCUGGACUGAAGAUGGCAGAGCUGAGGGUGGUGGAAGUGUUCUCACCAGUGGCACCAUCUUUGUGCUGUAUGGUGGAUGCUGUCCUGGGCAAUGUCCUCUACUCACCAGAUUCCAGUGGUGACUCCUCCCCUCCAAGUUUGGACAACCAAAAAUGUCUGCAGACAUUGCUGAAUGUGCCCCGGGGAAGCAAGAUCACCCUGGUGGAGACUCAUUGGUAUAAGGUAAAGCCAGAGAGCGGGGCUCGGACUAGCCACACAGAUCCGACUCUGGACCCCAAGGCCCUUGGAUUACCCCUAAAUGCUCAAGAAGCAUCUGGACCAAGGCCAAGGCAUAGGAUCCUAAACAUUCAAAGUCGUGACCUGGUUCACUCUGUUGCCUCCAAGUAAAACUGGAAUUCUGCUCAGGACAAAGCAUUUGUUUUUAUGGAGAUGCUUUAUCCUUGCUCCACUUGUCAAUUUUAAAGAAUUGGGGGCUGGAGAUAAAAAGGAAACCAAGUAAAUACAGUCUCGGGCAGGACAAAUGGGCAUCCAGUCACCUUCGUAGGGAAGACAAAGUAAAGUGGUUGAUGUGCUCUUUGAACAUAGGAGUGAUUAUCGGGGUUCCUGCUCCUGAGAAUGUUAACUGCAAGGACAGACCAGUCACAGGGUGACAUAACCCACCCCAGUCCACCCACAGGUCAUGGAGGCCUGGGGUAGGGUGGGGAGAAGAAGGGCACCCAGCCUGCUGGUGCUGACCUUAGGCGAGUCGAGCAUGGCAGAGGUAAGGAAGGUGGUGGAGACGUGUUCCUAGUUUGGCCAUGCCAUUGAAGGGAUGGUCUGCUCACUUUUAAAGUGUACUGGCCACAAAAGGACAAAAAACUGUAUGGUCCACUCUGUGUUCGUAGAAUAAUCAGACUCAUAAGGUAGAACUGCAGAUACUGGGGUCUGGGGGAGGGGACAGAGGAGUUAGUAUUUUGUGGGUACAGAGUUUUGACUGGGAAAGCGGACAGAGUUCUGGAGGAGGGUGGUGGAGAUGAAUGGACUCAGGGC